rnacentral:tRNA from 1 species
GGCAAUGUAGCUCUGUGGCAGAGCAUGUGUUUAGCAUGCACAAGGCUCUGGGUUCAACCCCUAGCACCA